rnacentral:rRNA from 1 species
GGAAGCAGCUUGCUGCUUCGCUGACGAGUGGCGGACGGGUGAGUAAUGUCUGGGAAACUGCCUGAUGGAGGGGGAUAACUACUGGAAACGGUGGCUAAUACCGCAUAACGUCGCAAGACCAAAGAGGGGGACCUUCGGGCCUCUUGCCAUCAGAUGUGCCCAGAUGGGAUUAGCUAGUUGGUGAGGUAACGGCUCACCAAGGCGACGAUCCCUAGCUGGUCUGAGAGGAUGACCAGCCACACUGGAACUGAGACACGGUCCAGACUCCUACGGGAGGCAGCAGUGGGGAAUAUUGCACAAUGGGCGCAAGCCUGAUGCAGCCAUGCCGCGUGUAUGAAGAAGGCCUUCGGGUUGUAAAGUACUUUCAGCGGGGAGGAAGGUGUUGUGGUUAAUAACCGCAGCAAUUGACGUUACCCGCAGAAGAAGCACCGGCUAACUCCGUGCCAGCAGCCGCGGUAAUACGGAGGGUGCAAGCGUUAAUCGGAAUUACUGGGCGUAAAGCGCACGCAGGCGGUCUGUCAAGUCGGAUGUGAAAUCCCCGGGCUCAACCUGGGAACUGCAUUCGAAACUGGCAGGCUUGAGUCUUGUAGAGGGGGGUAGAAUUCCAGGUGUAGCGGUGAAAUGCGUAGAGAUCUGGA